rnacentral:lncRNA from 1 species
UGGGAGCUCGCAGGUGCCUGGAAAGUGAUCGCAGAUGCGGGUGAGGCCAAGAAGGCCUGGGGUCGCAUGAGCUGGAGUUUCUCCGCAGGCGCGAGUGCAUAGGGGCGUACGAUUUUCGUAGAAGCGGAUGCGCAGGUGCGCAUGCUUCUCCGCAGAAGAAGACUUGGCCAAACAUGGUGAGAACCGCAGGUGCAACAUCACAGGUGCGACCCAAGGUCUGCAGAAGCGGAAACCGCUAGGUAGUGAUUAAAAGCAACUCAAAUCCAACCGCGAAAACGAGCAAGAAGGGAGUUUAAACUUCUACAAUUCUACUCUUGGUUUAUGAUUUGUUAAAUUUCUUCUGUUUUUUUGGACUAAGCGUUAAUUUUCAUUCAGAGUAUCUUUUUAAUCCAUUUUAAAAUUAGAAUGAGGUUAUUUUGAUCAAGCAAUAUCUUUUAUUGGAGUAUGCAUUAUCUCACUAAUAUUGUGUUUAGUGUAAUACUUGCAAAAAUUAUGUGGUGAAAAAUAUAGACUUGAUAGUAGGUAAGUACUUGUAAAAUAGAGUUAUAGAAUAAGAGAGUUAUAUUCUAUUAAUUUAUUUUCUUUUGCAAUAGGAAUUAACAAAGAACAUAGAGAGGUGGACCCUACCAGGGCCAGAUUAUCCUUUUCCUGCCUCCUUUUGGAAGCAAAACUAUUAUAUGCAGUAACAGUGUCAGACCCCAAGGUAUUUGCCUUGUAAUCAAAUUUUCAAAGUGAUAACUCAAGUUCGAACUUAAGGAUGAAAUAUUGUUUCAUUUGCCCUAAGACAUGUUAGGCACAGUAUGAUCACGCUAGUGGUACAUAUAUUGGAUUAAUCGAGAUAAGCACAAGUUGAUCUUAAAUUAUAGUAGAAAAUACUUUCAUUGGUUUUUAAACUGAAGUUCAUGCAAAAUUUAUAGAAACCUCCCUUAUGUUAUGAGAGUGCGAGUGUGUUAUUCGAUUGUGGAGUUGAUUGACCAACUAGGCAUCUUUAAUCUUUAAAUAUCCAUGUUAUCCGUAUUCUGUUGCUCUAUCCAAGAGACAAGAAGAUACUGCCAACUCUACUUUAUUGGCUAUUUCCACUACACAACUUGCUUGGCUAGAAGAAGUUAACCAUUCCUAUGAAGAUGUUCCUAGGGCUACUCAGUUAUUGGCUGAGUUAAUAACAACAGCUCAGGGCAAUUCAGACUACACACUACAACAAGAGAUAAUCAGGUAUAAAUAGAAGAUAUAGGUAGGAAAGGGUAACACAGUGAGAAGAAGAGUAUGGGAAGCAUUGUAUCAAUCACCACUGGGAGGCCACUCAGGACAACAAGGUACUUAUACGAGGUUACAUAUGAACUUUUAUUGGCCAAAUAUGAAGUCAGACAGCUGCAAAUGGGUCAGUGAAUGUGACAUAUGUCAAAGGGUGAAAUCAGAGAAUGUUCACUAUCCUGGGUUACUACAGCCUUUUCCUAUUCCUGAGUAAGCAUGGCAGGACAUCUCUAUGGAUUUUGUAGAAGGAUUACCUACUUCAAAUAAGAAGAAUACAAUUUUGGUGGUGGUUGAUAGACUCACUAAGUAUGGUCACUUUCUGCCUCUUAAACAUCCCUUUACAGCACAGGAUGUAGCAGAACUAUUUCUCUAGGAAAUUUAUAGACUGCAUGGCAUUCCUAGGUCCAUAGUGUCUGACAGGAAUUCAGUUUUCACUAGCCACUUUUGGCAGCACCUUUUCAGAUCUAUGAGCACCAAACUCAAUCUGAGUUCAGCUUAUCACCCUCAGAGUGAUGGUCAAACGGAGAGACUCAACAGGUGUAUGGAAACUUACCUAAGGGAAAUGGUUUUUGAUAAUCCUAAGCAAUAGGUCAAGUGGCUUCACAUGGCAGAGUGGUGGUACAACACCAACUACUACAGUGCUUUAAAGAUCACACCUUUUGAAGCAUUAUAUGGGUAUGCACCACCUCAGCUACCAAUGGGAUCAUUACCAAGUUCUGGGCAGACCAUGGCAAGUGUGAGUUUAGCACAAAGACAGCACAUGGUGCAGAUACUUAAGGACAACCUAACUCGGGCACAGUCACGCAUGAAAUUAUUUGCAGACAGAUGAAGGUCGGAAAGAACCUUGGAGGUUGGGAACCAUGUCUAUCUUAAGCUACAAUCGUAUAGACAAUCAUCAAUCGAGGUUCGUAGAAAUGUUAAGUUGUGUGCUCGUUAUUUUGGUCCUUACAAGAUAUUGAAGAAAGUGGGUACAAUAGCUUACCUCUUGGAGCUUCCUGAAGGCUCCCAGCUCAAGAAGAGAAUCGGUCCAACGACCGAACCUCAGCUUCAGCCACCAACGUGUGAUGCUAACAGUCAAGUGCUAAUUCAACCAGUGGCCAUAUUGCAGCGAAAAAUGAUGAAUAUUGAUAAUGGUGUGGGAGUUAAAGUGUUGGUUAAGUGGGCAAAUCUUAAGGAGGAGGAUGCUACAUGAGAAGACUGGGGGUA